rnacentral:tRNA from 1 species
GGUCGUAUAGUGUAAUGGUUAGCACCUCGGAUUCUGAUACCACCUAUCAUAUUCCGGUAAUCCCGGUUCGAUCCCGGGUAUGACCU